UUUCUCUCUCUCUAUAUCGCUCGCACCCUUUUCUCUGUUUUCUCUCUCUAGGUUUUUUGUUUCUCUCUCUCUAGAUCGAUUCUGCGGAAGGCGGCUUCGAAAUCGAAAUCUAUGGAUCUGGGUUCGAAGAGGAGUACUAGAAUUGAUUGUUGAAUUAGUUUUUUGUUUUUGGGUUGUUUGUGGUCGGGGUUUUUAGAUUUGUCGAUGAGGGGGAGAUGGUGAAGGAGGGGUUUUCGGGUGGAUCUAGGGUUUCGAGGAAUGGGAAUUGGUGAAUUCUAGGGUUUCGAGGGUGGGAUUGAGGCGGGAUUGAUGGUUGUCGUUGGGGAAGAAGGUGGGAUCGGAGCGGGAACUGGCAAAAAUGCAAGGCUAUGCAUGGGCGGGAAGGUGAGGACAGGAAACGGAGUCAGCACAUGUGGUCGGUCCCUACUCGUGGCACCGCGUCUGUAGCUGAUGAUUCUUCGACAUCUACAGCUAAUUCUUUCUUAAAGGAUGGUCGCAACAUUAGCGUUGGUGACUGUGCUCUUUUCAAACCAUCCCAGGAUUCCCCACCUUUCAUUGGAAUAAUCCGUUGGUUAACAUCAAGUAAGAAUAACAUAAGGUUAGGUGUGAAUUGGCUUUAUCGACCUUCUGAAGUAAAGCUUGGCAAAGGCAUCCUGCUGGAAGCUGCGCCAAACGAAGUUUUCUAUACCUUUCAUAAGGAUGAGAUUCCUGCUGCAUCAUUACUCCAUCCGUGUAAAGUCGCAUUCCUUCCUAAAGGUGAUGAACUUCCUUCGGGAAUAUCCUCGUUUGUGUGCAGGCGGGUUUUUGAUGUUGCAAACAAGUGUUUAUGGUGGUUAACUGAUCAAGAUUAUAUUAAUGAGCGACAGGAAGAAGUAGAUAAGUUAUUAUAUAAAACGCGAAUAGAAAUGCAUGCAACAGUGCAGCCAGGUGGUCGUUCUCCAAAACCAAUGAGUGGUCCAACAUCAACAUCGCAAAUAAAACCUGGUUCUGAUAGUAGUACUCAAAACUGUGCCACUUCCUUGCCUUCCCAAGUUAAGGGAAAGAAAAGGGAGCGAGGAGAUCAGGGCUCUGAGCCCAUUAAACGUGAGCGCCCUUCAAAAACUGAUGAUGGGGAUUCUGGUCACUCUAGACCAGAGAGCGUUUGGAAAUCUGAGAUUGCUAAAAUUACAGAAAGGGGAGGGCUUGUUGAUUCUGAAGGGGUUGAGAGACUUGUGCAGCUCAUGCAGCCUGAGAGAGCUGAGAAGAAAAUAGACUUGAUUGGCCGUUCAAUUCUUGCAGGUGUUAUAGCUGCCACAGAGAAGUAUGAUUGCCUUGGUCGAUUUGUCCAGCUCAGGGGCUUGCCUGUAUUGGAUGAAUGGCUCCAAGAGGCACAUAAAGGAAAGAUUGGUGAUGGUAGUAGCCCCAAGGACAGUGAUAAAUCUGUUGAGGAAUUCCUAUUGGUUUUACUUCGUGCACUCGAUAAGUUGCCUGUGAAUCUUCAAGCCCUUCAAAUGUGUAACAUUGGCAAAUCUGUUAAUCAUUUACGUACUCAUAAAAACUUAGAAAUUCAGAAAAAAGCAAGGAGUUUAGUUGAUACAUGGAAGAAACGUGUUGAGGCAGAAAUGAAUAUUAAUGAUGCGAAGUCUGGUUCAAGUCAGGCUGUUGCAUGGUCUUCAAGGCCACGUCUUUCUGAAGUUUCUCAUGGUGGGAACAGACACUCUGGAGGCUCCUCUGAGAUUGCCAUGAAGAGCUCAGUCACACAGCUUUCUUCAUCUAAAACAGCUCCAGUUAAGCUUGUACAGGGGGAAAUUGCCAAGUCUGGGUCUGCAUCCCAGGGAUUUACAAAAUCAGCAACAUCACCUGCAUCAGUGAGUACUAGCUUAAAGGAUGGUCAAACCCGCGUUGCUGGUGCUGGUAAUGCCUCUGAUCCUCCUCUAACGACAGUAAGGGAUGAGAAAAGCAGCAGUUCUAGUCAAUCUCAUAACAAUAGUCAGUCUUGUUCAAGUGACCAUGCCAAAACUGUGGGUUUCUCAGGGAAGGAAGAUGCUAGGAGCUCGACAGCUAUGUCAAUGAGUGUGAGCAAGACCUCUGGUGGUGCUUCACGGCAUCGGAAAUCAGUCAAUGGCUAUCCAGGGCCUGCUGUGUCUGGAGUGCAAAGGGAAACCGGUUCAAGUAGAAGUUCUUCCUUUCAAAGAAAUCCUGCCUCAGAAAAAGUAUCACAGUCUGGAUUGACAUGCGAUAAGGCUUUUGAUGUCCCCACUGUUGAGGGAAACAGUCACAAACUGAUUGUCAAGAUCCCCAAUCGAGGCCGCAGUCCUGCACAAAGUGCGAGUGGUGGAUCUUUUGAAGAUCCUUCCAUGGUGAACAGUCAGGCGUCUUCUCCCGUGCUUUCAGGGAAGCAUGAUCAAUCUGACCGUAAUCCGAAGGAAAAGAGUGAUGUUUAUCGAGCUAAUAAUACUUCAGAUGUGAAUACUGAGUCAUGGCAAAGCAAUGAUUUCAAAGAUGCAAUGACUGGGUCUGAUGAAGGUGAUGGGUCACCUGCUACUCUUCCUGAUGAAGAGCGCUCCAGGACUGGUGAUGACACUAGGAAAAUCAAAACUGCUUCGUCAUCAUCAGGAAUUGAACCCAAGUCAGGGAAAUUGGUUGAGGCUUCUUUCACCUCCAUGAAUGCUUUAAUUGAAAGUUGUGUCAAGUGUGAGGCUAAUGCAUCUGUUUCAGUUGUUGAUGAUGUUGGAAUGAAUCUGCUUGCUAGUGUGGCUGCCGGAGAAAUGGCCAAACGAGAGUCAGUUUCACCUGCUGAUUCUCCACUAAGAAAUACUGCUGUUAUUGAAGAUUCUUCUGCAGGCAAUGAUGCGAAAUCAAAACCAACAGGAGAUGACAUCUUGAGAGAACAAAGUCAGUCUAACUACGGUCCCACCGGUGAUACUGAGAAGCAGGGUUUUUGGGCUAAGGAUGGAUUGCAUCAUUUACCUAAACAUGCAUUGACUAACAGAGAGAACAAUGAACAUAUUAAUUCUACCAGUAUUGAUUUAGUAAGAACUUCAGAGCUGUGCUCAGAAAUCAACAGAAAAUCAGAUGAAACAGUGGUUGGUGCUUCUGUGACUGCAUCCCCUGUGAGCACAACAGAAAAAGGCAGUGAUGAUGAACAAGGGAAACAACUUCAUGAGAAGAAGGCAGCUGUUGAUGGAGUAAAUGUUGAUGGUAUUCCAGAUACUAAACCAAAGGUGAGCAGUUCUUCAUUGGCUGAAGAUAAAGUCAAUGAUGUCCUUCCCUGUGUAGAAUUAAAAGAAGAACAGUCAUCAUAUGCAUCAUUAGAACCUGAUGGUGAAAAGAAUAAUGUUAAUGAAGGUUUGAAUACAGAGCAAAAGCCACCAGCUUCCAUGAUACCUUCGGACUUUGUGAAAGGAACUGAAAAGGAAGUGCCACUUCCUUCUGGUUCAGGUAAAGAUUUGGUCCCAGAAAAUGUUGAUCAAAUGAAGGCUGAAAAGGUUGAUGAAAUUUGCGUCUCAAAUCAGGCUAAUCAGAUGGAAGAACAGAGAAUUGAGCCAAAAAAUCAUGCUUCAACUGCUGCUGAGAAUCGAGUUGUGGCUGGUUUGUAUUCAGUAGCAACUGAUCACAAGAGGGAACUUAUGGAAGAGAAUUUAGGAAAUAAAGAGGUUCUUGAGAACUGUUCUAGUGGGCAAGCUCCUUACAAACAAUCACCCACAUUUCCUGUGUUAGAAGUGGAACAGCUUGUAAGGCCUAGAGGAUCCAAGUUGCCAGGUGAUGAAGCGGAUGAAACAGAGGAAUGUGCUUCCACCACUGCAGAUGCUUCUUCCUUUUCAGCUACAGGGGGAUCAGAUGUGGAUGGAAAACUGGAAUUUGAUUUGAAUGAAGGUUUUAAUGCAGAUGAUGGGAAAUUUGGGGAACCAGUAAAUGUAGGUACACCUGGAUGUUCAGCUGCUGUUCAUUUAAUUAGCCCAUUGCCUUUUCCUGUUUCUUCAAUGUCCAGUGGGCUUCCAGCUUCAAUUACAGUGGCUGCUGCUGCUAAAGGGCCUUUUGUUCCUCCUGAUGAUCUAUUAAGGAGUAAAGGGGAACUUGGGUGGAAAGGAUCCGCUGCUACUAGUGCUUUCCGACCAGCUGAACCAAGAAAGACACUUGAGAUGCCAUUGAAUGCACUGAAUGUUCCAUCUGACGCUACCAGUGGUAAACAAAAUCGUCCUUUGUUGGAUUUUGACCUGAAUAUGCCCGAUGAAAGAAUUCUCGAGGACAUGACUUCUCGAAGCUCUGCUCAGGAGACAAGCUCUACAUGUGAUCUUGUUAGUAGUCGUGAUUUGGCACAUGACAGACCUAUGGGUUCUGCACCCAUUCGUUGCUCUGGGGGCCUUGAUCUUGAUUUGAACCAAAGUGAUGAAGUGACUGAUAUGGGGCAGCACUCAGCAAGCAACUCUCAUAGAUUGGCGGUCCCCCUUCUGCCAGUUAAAUCUUCUUCAUCCGUUGGAUUUCCUAAUGGUGAGGUGGUUGUCCGAAGAGACUUUGAUUUGAACAAUGGUCCUGUUCUUGAUGAGGUAAGUGCUGAACCAUCAUCUUUUAGCCAACAUGCCCGAAGCAGCAUGGCAUCCCAGCCACCUGUUGCUUGCCUUAGAAUGAACAAUACAGACAUAGGGAACUUCUCAUCUUGGUUUCCUCCGGCAAACAAUUAUUCAGCUGUCACAAUUCCAUCCAUCAUGCCUGAUAGGGAACAACCAUUUCCAAUUGUUGCAACUAAUGGGCCACAAAGGAUAAUGGGUCUUUCGACUGGUGGAACCCCAUUUAAUCCUGAUGUCUACAGGGGCCCUGUAUUGUCAUCUUCUCCUGCAGUUCCCUUCCCCUCAACCCCAUUUCAAUAUCCAGUAUUCCCUUUUGGGACCAAUUUUCCCCUGCCACCAGUUACUUUUUCAGGCAGUUCAACUUCUUUUACAGAUUCCUCAUCUGCUGGGAGGCUUUGCUUCCCUGCUGUAAAUUCCCAGUUAAUUGGACCAGCUGGUACAGUUCCAUCACAUUACCCCAGGCCUUAUGUGGUGAACCUUUCAGAUGGCAGCAACAGUGGUGGUCUUGAGAGCAAUAGGAGAUGGGGAAGGCAGGGCCUAGACCUCAAUGCAGGCCCUGGAGGUCCAGAAAUUGAUGGGAGAGAGGAGUCCGUGGUUUCCCUUGCAUCAAGGCAACUCUCUGUUGCCAGUUCACAGGCCCUAGCAGGGGAGCAAGCAAGGAUGUACCAUGCGGCUGGUGGUGUUUUGAAGAGGAAGGAGCCUGAGGGAGGAUGGGAUACAGAAAGGUUUAGUUACAAGCAAUCCUCAUGGCAGUAAGAAUCUGCUAUGGCACAGUUGGCUGACCAUGGAGGCUUGAUGGGAAGUGGAUAACCCCCCCGGAAGUCAUCAUCUAACUGGUUUGCUCUCAGAGGAUGGGUGUUUGGUGUCUGCAAUGAAAGCAACUGAUCUUAUCCCAAAACUUGCAAGCCACAGAAGAUAGUAUGGUGCUCAUUGAGCUCCUGAUGAUUAUAAAAUGUUGUGAUUCUUCUUUAGAUAUUGGAAUUUCUUAGUUGUUUUUGAGUAGGAUUUAUUUGGGAUCCACCAUUUGGGAAACUAUGGUGGAUCCUUUUUUAAAAAUCUUCAGUUGCCAUUGGGUAAUAUUUCUUGUCCUGAGAAUGCAAGGCCCUAUCAGAACCUUUUGCUGAAGUGGUGAAGUGUUAGGGAGAGCUUGUGGGAUGUUCCAGUUUCGUGUUCCAAUGGGGACAAAAAUUUACCUAUAUAAAAAAAAACCUUCCUUCUUUCAGCUCCCUUUGUCUGGAUCUACCCCAUCAGACAUUUCAAACCCGCACAAGGUUGAUAUUGGCAAGAAAAUAUUAAGAGUAUGGAUUGUUGGCCUCUUUUUUUCUUUUUUGGUUCAUUUGCUUCCUGCAUUUGAAUUAGAAUAUCUCUGCCAUCCACAUUAUUAAGCCAGAUUGCUCAAUGUCUUUUAUCUUCUCCCCUUGGUGUUUGCAUUAUAAGUGAUGGUUCAAUCUUUAUUUUCUCAACAAAAAUGUCAAUUGGCUGCAUUGAUCUGAUCUGAAUGAUGAUUUCUUAUUUGUUAUAUAUGGGAGUCUCUCUGGGGGUUGAAUUCUGGACCUGGAAGGUUCUUUGUCUAAUGUGGUGUCUGGGUGCUUAAUGUAUUGAAUUGAGUUUGUCUCAAAUGA